GUGGACCUCUGAUAUGCAGGAUGAUGGGACAGACGAGAUCAAAGAUGCAUCCAAGCAUGAGGAGGAGCAAAAGCAAUGAAGUCACUUAACCUAGUGAUAAAUUUUACUUCUCCACUAUUUGUUUUUGUUCGGAGAAGUAGCUUGGUCCACUACUCCUAUUAUGAGUUUUCAGUAGUUGAUCCUUGUUUUAUUAAGCUUGGAAGUAUUUUUACUUCUUAGUUUUUU
rnacentral:misc_RNA from 1 species